GAUGAACGCUGGCGGCGUGCCUAAUACAUGCAAGUCGAGCGAACAGACGAGGAGCUUGCUCCUCUGACGUUAGCGGCGGACGGGUGAGUAACACGUGGAUAACCUACCUAUAAGACUGGGAUAACUUCGGGAAACCGGAGCUAAUACCGGAUAAUAUAUUGAACCGCAUGGUUCAAUAGUGAAAGACGGUUUUGCUGUCACUUAUAGAUGGAUCCGCGCCGCAUUAGCUAGUUGGUAAGGUAACAGCUUACCAAGGCAACGAUGCGUAGCCGACCUGAGAGGGUGAUCGGCCACACUGGAACUGAGACACGGUCCAGACUCCUACGGGAGGCAGCAGUAGGGAAUCUUCCGCAAUGGGCGAAAGCCUGACGGAGCAACGCCGCGUGAGUGAUGAAGGUCUUCGGAUCGUAAAACUCUGUUAUUAGGGAAGAACAAAUGUGUAAGUAACUACGCACGUCUUGACGGUACCUAAUCAGAAAGCCACGGCUAACUACGUG
rnacentral:rRNA from 1 species